UUUAGUUUGUAACAGGAAAAUCACUCAACUUUUCCUAAUGCACACAGAUAGUCACUCAACCGGAAAUAUCAAACUUUCCGGUGGAAAAAGUUGACAUGGCAGUCUACAUAGAAUUUUUUAUUAUUUGACCAAGUAACACCCAAACAAAACAUUAUAACUCUGCCCAUACACCCGAUCCGACCCGUUGAAUAAAAACCCACCCACUUAAUAAAUAAACACUAAAGAAUAACCAAACCCUCUGACCAUUAUUUCACGCUGCUCUUCUUCUCCAUGGUUUCACUUUAGUCCAAAGUUGAGCUUUUCAACAUGGAAUUGGAAGGUGCAUCAAGUAGAUAAUAUAAAAAAUCUCAAAGGAAGGGAUCCAUCUCGUCCCCACAACCAUUGUUUAAUGUGGAUUUGAACCACUAUGCCGAGGGUAUUGCACAGCACAUGAGAGAAAACGAGGAGUGGUUGGAAAUUCUAGAUGGGUAUUUCAGGAAAAUAGUGUUUUGAGUAAUACGGUGGCUGAGAGGAAGGGUAAUGGUGAUGAAGAAAGUGAGGAUGAAGAUCGGUUAGAUGAUCAAGAUUUCAAUGAUCCAGCCUAUAACCUAGAGGAAGAUGAUGACGAGUAUCAUGAUAUUACUGCUGAUAAUCAUGAUAUUAUUGUUGAGAAUUAUUUUAAGAAGGCAAAAGGAAGACCAAAAAAAAAAAUACCAAUGAUGGAAAUAAUAGAGUUGGACUAUCUGUUGGCAUCCUAAUUCCAGAAAUAAACGAGAAUGCUGAUUCAGAUUAUGCUAAUCUGAUGAAUUGCUAGAGCGAGAUACUGAUAAAGAAGAUGAGGUAGAGGUCGCAUAUGAGGAGUAUAACGAAGAAAUGGACAACCCUAUAUUAGAACUAGGAAUGAAGUUUGGGUCUUUUAAACAGUUUAAGGAGGCUUGUAUGAAUUGGGGGAUUAAGAACAUGUUGAAAAGCUCAAUUUUGGAUUAGAAGUGAAACCAUGGAAAGAAGAGAGUAGCGUGAAAUAAUGGUCAGAGGGUUUGGUUAGUCUUUAGUGUUUAUUUUAUUAAGUGGGUGGGUUUUUAUUCAGCGGGUUGGGUGUAUGGGUAGAGUUAAUAUUUUGUUUGGGCGUUACUUGGUUAAAUAAUAAAAAAAUUCAUGUAGACUGUCA